GAUGAACGCUAGCUACAGGCUUAACACAUGCAAGUCGAGGGGAAACGGCAUCGAAAGCUUGCUUUUGAUGGGCGUCGACCGGCGCACGGGUGAGUAACGCGUAUCCAACCUGCCCAUCACUUGGGAAUAACCUUGCGAAAGUAAGACUAAUGCCCAAUGACAUCCCACGAAGGCAUCCGAAUGGGAUUAAAGAUUUAUCGGUGAUGGAUGGGGUUGCGUCUGAUUAGCUUGUUGGCGGGGUGACGGCCCACCAAGGCAACGAUCAGUAGGGGUUCUGAGAGGAAGGUCCCCCACAUUGGAACUGAGACACGGUCCAAACUCCUACGGGAGGCAGCAGUGAGGAAUAUUGGUCAAUGGGCGAGAGCCUGAACCAGCCAAGUAGCGUGCAGGAUGACGGCCCUAUGGGUUGUAAACUGCUUUUAUAAGGGAAUAAAGUGGGUCACGUGUGACUUUUUGCAUGUACCUUAUGAAUAAGGACCGGCUAAUUCCGUG
rnacentral:rRNA from 1 species